UUUACAUACUAAAAUCCAAAUUUCAAGACUUCACACAAAGCAUAACAAGAGCUAAUAAAAAUCACAGAAAAUUUCACCCUUUGAUUUAAACUAAACUAUGUUACUAACCAGCCAUCAUUAGAAUCACGAAUUUCCAAGUAAACGCUUUCUAAAGGAAGCUUUGUCUGCACAAAAACAAGUAUUAUCAGCAAUAACAAAAAAAAAAAUGAAUGAAAUUGAAAGGUGAAGUUAAGAGGAAAAAUGAGAACCUGAUCGAGAAGCUGAAGAGACCCACGGUUGUAGCGAAUUGCUUGAAGCAUGUUGGUAGCGUUGGAAUCAGAUGAUGCCAUAGAGAGAGUAUCGGGAGAGUGGCGUGCGUGCAAAUUGCAAUGAAGCUGGAAUGAUGCGGAGAAAAAUAGUAAUUUUCCUUCCUUAAUGUUUUUCUGUUAAGUAGAUAUAUCAAAGAAAAAUAUUUACACUUACGUGUCAAGCUUUCCACUCUUGUUACACAUAUAACACAUAUAAAAAUUUUAUUGUGCUAUUACGUAUAAAUUAUGAACA
rnacentral:lncRNA from 1 species